UGUGUGUGUGUGUGUGUGUGUGUGUGUGUGUAUGGCAAUGUUUAUGUAUAGAAGUGGAUUAAACAUGAGUGGUACAGGAGGCAGUAAAUAGGAUGUAGGGGUCGGAAGCAGCUGUGAACUUGUGUCACACACACAUGCAUGCACAGGUAGCAAAUCUUUGGCAUAAGGGGAAGAGCAUGCUGAGAGGGGAGAGUCAGGAGAGAGCAGUCAAGGGGGCCGAGGGAGGGAGAGCAGUAAAUCUCUCCCUGGUUUCCUUCUCCCGUAGAUACACCAUCACUUCAGUGGCCGGUAGUCCUUUGGUAAUGACUUCAUGGAUCAGAAUUUAAAGCCAGAUUAGACGUGUUGAUAAAUCACUGACUACAGAACGGAUGACAAGCACUUUCUGGGCUGCUGGAGCCUGUAGGGGGUACUUCCACCCCUUGGAAGGUGGUCCUCAGGGUCCAUGGAGAUGGUCGGGACUUAAUAAAUAUUAGACCGGCCCACCAGCCGUCUGCCCUGCCCUCCAGGAACUUACCGUCCACCUGACAAGGGACGCUGCAUGUGGCUGUCUGUGCUCUGAGGCCCUUGCGAAAGAGAAAAUACCAAGUGACCAAGUGCAGGCUGAAGUUUCUGGAAAAGAAAGCUGCACCGUGUUAAAGCUUCUGUAGCGCCAUUGCAAUCACGAGGAUAUCUGUGACCAUGGAGAUCAGAGAUGUUGCUGGUUUGGAGCCAUUUCCCUGGUCUGUUUUUAAUAGACAGCCAUUGUCCGUCUCUGCAUGUAACCUGGCAUCCUUCUGACUAUCAGCCGGUGGUAAACGGUCUUGAGAGAAGAGUAAAUAGAUUUUAGUAGAAUCAAGGAAGAGUCCAUCUAAACACAAGCUAUCACCCACCAAGAAACCCCAUCGCCUGCAAGCCCUCACCAUCCUGUCAGUAGUUAAAGUUCCAAGUAGAAAACUGUUCAUCAUUGAAAAUUCAGAGCAGACUGGCAAAGUGGACUGAAUGUGAAUCUCCUGUGUCUUAUAGUCUUGAUUCUGCAAGGCAGCAAGGAGCAGUCUUGUGGAGCUUGAAGCUUAAGAUCUGAACUCGCUGGUUCCACCCAUGUAUUCUGUCUCCACCCUACCAUAGUGCCAUAGUUUGUUUGCUGUCUCCCAGAAAAACCACCUGAACUCUUUCCCGGAGUGAACUGAAGAGAGAUGAACAAAGGACUCACGUAAACAUUUAUUCUUUCGAUCCCAAGUACCUGCUCUCUCUGAGAAACUGGUAGUGGCUUUGCCUCUUCAAUAAUAGAGCAAACCAUUAGCCUUUGUAAGUUCCUCCUUCACAGCUCAGUUACCAGGACCCGACAGACCUCCUGGUCUCAAGUCCUCUGCUAUUCUUGGGUUCUAAGAACCUUGAGAAUUGGAUGCAAGCAGUCAACAUUGUCCCCUUUUUUGGUUUUCACUCCUGAACACAAAGGCCUUUGUUAGUCCUUUUUGUU
rnacentral:sRNA from 1 species